AGUGAACGCUGGCGGUAGGCCUAACACAUGCAAGUCGAACGGCAGCACAGUAAGAGCUUGCUCUUACGGGUGGCGAGUGGCGGACGGGUGAGGAAUACAUCGGAAUCUACUUUUUUGUGGGGGAUAACGUAGGGAAACUUACGCUAAUACCGCAUACGACCUACGGGUGAAAGCAGGGGAUCUUCGGACCUUGCGCGAUUGUAUGAGCCGAUGUCGGAUUAGCUAGUUGGCGGGGUAAAGGCCCACCAAGGCGACGAUCCGUAGCUGGUCUGAGAGGAUGAUCAGCCACACUGGAACUGAGACACGGUCCAGACUCCUACGGGAGGCAGCAGUGGGGAAUAUUGGACAAUGGGCGCAAGCCUGAUCCAGCCAUACCGCGUGGGUGAAGAAGGCCUUCGGGUUGUAAAGCCCUUUUGUUGGGAAAGAAAAGCAGCAGGUUAAUACCCCGCUGUUCUGACGGUACCCAAAGAAUAAGCACCGGCUAACUUCGUG
rnacentral:rRNA from 1 species